UACCCACAGUACCCACCCAGGUAUGGAUAUGAAGGAAGGUGGUAAUCACUGGACAGAUGACAGAGGCUUGGUGAGACGUCUUCUUUGCUCUCUCCUCAUGACGAUUCUUCUGACUCAAAAAUCCUUUGACACAUCUAGCAACGUAUUACCAGCCUGCUUACAAUAAAUACAUCCAAAGUGCUUCAAAAAGCAUAUUUUAUCAAACAAUUCAAAAAGCAAAGCAUUAUUUGUAUUCUCUCAGGCAUUAGGUUGGAAUUUAAAAA